rnacentral:rRNA from 1 species
UACGUAGGGGGCAAGCGUUGUCCGGAUUUAUUGGGCGUAAAGAGCGUGUAGGCGGCCUGAAAGGUCAGCUGUGAAAACUCGAGGCUCAACCUCGAGAUGUCGGUUGAAACCAUCUGGCUAGAGUCCGGAAGAGGAGAGUGGAAUUCCCGGUGUAGCGGUGAAAUGCGCAGAUAUCGGGGAAGAACACCCGUGGCGAAGGCGGCUCUCUGGGACGGUAC